rnacentral:rRNA from 1 species
AUUGAACGCUGGCGGCAGGCCUAACACAUGCAAGUCGAGCGAGCGGCGGACGGGUGAGUAAUGUAUGGGGACUGCCCGAUCGAGGGGGAUAACUACUGGAAACGGUGGCUACUACCGCAUACUAUCGGAUAACCCAUAUGGGAUUAGCUAGUAGGUGGGGUAAAGGCUCACCUAGGCGACGAUCGCUAGCUGGUCGGAGAGGAUGAUCGGCCACACUGGGACUGAGACACGGCCCAGACUCCUACGGAGGCAGCAGUGGGGAAUAUUGCGCAAUGGGCGCAAGCCUGAUGCAGCCAUGCCGCGUGUAUGAAGAAGGCCUUAGGGUUGUAAAGUACUUUCAGCGGGGAGGCGUUACCCGCAGAAGAAGCACCGGCUAACUCCGUGCCAGCCGCCGCGGUAAUUC